rnacentral:rRNA from 1 species
UGGGGAAUUUUGGACAAUGGGCGAAAGCCUGAUCCAGCAAUGCCGCGUGUGUGAAGAAGGCCUUCGGGUUGUAAAGCACUUUUGUCCGGAAAGAAAUCCUUGGCUCUAAUACAGUCGGGGGAUGACGGUACCGGAAGAAUAAGCACCGGCUAACUACGUGCCAGCAGCCGCGGUAAUACGUAGGGUGCAAGCGUUAAUCGGAAUUACUGGGGCGUAAAGCGUGCGCAGGCGGUUUGCUAAGACCGAUGUGAAAUCCCCGGGCUCAACCUGGGAACUGCAUUGGUGACUGGCAGGCUAGAGUAUGGCAGAGGGGGGUAGAAUUCCACGUGUAGCAGUGAAAUGCGUAGAGAUGUGGAGGAAUACCGAUGGCGAAGGCAGCCCCCCUGGGCCAAUACUGACGCUCAUGCACGAAAGGCGUGGGGGAGCAAACAGGAUUAGAUACCCCUGGUAGUCCACGCCCUAAACGAUGUCAACUAGUUGUUGGGGGAUUCAUUUUCCUUAGUAACGUAGCUAACGCGUGAAGUUGACCGCCU